UGGCGGCACGCCUAACACAUGCAAGUCGAACGAAGUAGCAAUACUUAGUGGCAGACGGGUGAGUAACAUGUAGGUAUCUGCCCUUUGGCCUGGAAUAACACGAGGAAACUUGUGCUAAUACCGGAUAAGUCUUUACGGAGAAAGCUUUAUGCACCAUUGGAUGAGCCUGCACUUGAUUAGUUUGUUGGUGGGGUAAUGGCCUACCAAGACUGUGAUCAAUAGCUGAUUUGAGAGGAUGAUCAGCCACAUUGGGACUGAGACACGGCCCAAACUCCUACGGGAGGCAGCAGUGGGGAAUCUUGCACAAUGGAGGAAACUCUGAUGCAGCGAUGCCGCGUGAGUGAAGAAGGCCUUUGGGUUGUAAAGCUCUUUCGUCGGGGAAGAAAAUGACUGUACCCGAAUAAGAAGGUCCGGCUAACUUCGUGCCAGCAGCCGCGGUAAUACGAAGGGACCUAGCGUAGUUCGGAAUUACUGGGCUUAAAGAGUUCGUAGGUGGUUGAAAAAGUUGGUGGUGAAAUCCCAGAGCUUAACUCUGGAACUGCCAUCAAAACUUUUCAGCUAGAGUAUGAUAGAGGAAAGCAGAAUUUCUAGUGUAGAGGUGAAAUUCGUAGAUAUUAGAAAGAAUACCAAUUGCGAAGGCAGCUUUCUGGAUCAUUACUGACACUGAGGAACGAAAGCAUGGGUAGCGAAGAGGAUUAGAUACCCUCGUAGUCCAUGCCGUAAACGAUGUGUGUUAGACGUUGGAAAUUUAUUUUCAGUGUCGCAGCGAAAGCGAUAAACACACCGCCUGGG
rnacentral:rRNA from 1 species